GAUGAACGCUGGCGGCGUGCUUAACACAUGCAAGUCGAACGGUGAAGCAGAGCUUGCUCUGUGGAUCAGUGGCGAACGGGUGAGUAACACGUGAGCAACCUGCCCCUGCCUCUGGGAUAAGCGCUGGAAACGGCGUCUAAUACUGGAUAUGAGCUGCGACCGCAUGGUCAGCAGUUGGAAAGAUUUUUCGGUCUGGGAUGGGCUCACGGCCUAUCAGCUUGUUGGUGAGGUAAUGGCUCACCAAGGCGUCGACGGGUAGCCGGCCUGAGAGGGUGACCGGCCACACUGGGACUGAGACACGGCCCAGACUCCUACGGGAGGCAGCAGUGGGGAAUAUUGCACAAUGGGCGAAAGCCUGAUGCAGCAACGCCGCGUGAGGGAUGACGGCCUUCGGGUUGUAAACCUCUUUUAGCAGGGAAGAAGCGAAAGUGACGGUACCUGCAGAAAAAGCGCCGGCUAACUACGUG
rnacentral:rRNA from 1 species